rnacentral:rRNA from 1 species
GUGGAACAUCCCUUUACUCAAAGGCAACGCCUAAGGAUGAAUCGGCGGUGGAUUAGGUUGUUGGUGAGGUAAAGGCUCACCAAGCCGAAGAUCCGUAGGGGUCCUGAGAGGGGUAGCCCCGAGAAGGGCACUGAGACACUGGCCCUAGCUCUACGGAGUGCAGCAGGCGCGAAACCUUUACAAUGCACGCAAGUGUGAUAAGGGAAUCCUAAGUGCUUAUGCUUUGCAUAGGCUUUUGCUAAGAGUAAAUAUCUCAGCGAAUAAGUGGUGGGCAAGACUGGUGCCAGCCGCCGCGGUAACACCAGCGCCACGAGUGGCGACCGCAAUUAUUGGGCCUAAAGCGUUCGUAGCCGUUUUAAUAAAUCUUUUGUGAAAUUAUUGGGCUAAAUCCAACAACGUGCAGAAGACACUGUUAGAAUUGGGACCGGGAGAGGUUAAAGGUAUGUUGGGGGGAGCGGUAAAAUGCUAUAAUCCUCGAUAGACCACCUGUGGCGAAGGCGUUUAACCAGAACGGAUCCGACGGUGAGGAACGAAAGCCAGGGGAGCAAACCGGAUUAGAUACCCGAGUAGUCCUGGCUGUAAACUCUGCGAGCUAGGUGUUGCAUAUUCUUGUGAAUGUGCAGUGUCGUAAUGAAGAUGUUAAGCUCGCCGCCUGGGAAGUACGGUCGCAAGACUGAAACUUAAAGGAAUUGGCGGGGGAGCACUACAAGGGGUGCGGCGUGCGGUUUAAUCCAAUUCAACACGGAAAAUCUCACCAGGGCCGACGGUAGGAUGAAAGUCGGGCUAAAGACUCUACUUGACAAGCCGAGAGGUAGUGCAUGGCCGCCGUCAGCUCGUGCCGUAAGGUGUCCUGUUAAGUCAGGCAACGAGCGAGACCUAUAUCUACAAUUGCUAACAAAUCCUUUAGGAUGAUUGAGCACAUUGUAGGGACUGCCUUGGAAACAAGGAGGAAGGUGUAGGCUACGGUAGGUCUGUAUGCUCCGAAUGCUCUGGGCUACACGCGCGCAACAAUGGUAAGGACAAUGGGAUACAACUCCGAAAGGAGAAGUUAAUCCUCUAAACCUUAUCUUAGUCCAGAUUGAGGACUGUAACUCAUCCUCAUGACGAUGGAAUCCCUAGUAAUCAGAGUUCAUCAUACUCUGAUGAAUAUGUCCCUGCUCCUUGCACACACCGCCCGUCAAACCACCCGAGUAGGGUUUAGGUGAGGUUUAGUUUUCAACUAAUUCGAACCUAAACUCAGCGAGGAGGGUUAAGUCGUCACAAGGUA